AUCCAGCUGACGAGCCCCAAACGGGACGAAACGCGCGUCAACCUGGAU
rnacentral:hammerhead_ribozyme from 1 species